GUUUUUUUUUCGUUUUGUUAAAAAAAAAGUAAUGAGGUGCUCGAUAGGAUGGAUUCGGACCAUCGACCUCCUGCUUAAGGUGACGUUGGAAUAACAGAAAAAAAUGAGAUUCAUGGUCCGAAAUACGCUUUCGCCCCGCUAUAUUAAUAUAGCAACCACCCGAUACAUCCAGAAAUCCGACGCUGGGGCAAACAGCACAAUCAUGCCCAAAAGAAAAACAAGAGAAAAUCAAGAGAAAGAAAUGCCGGCAGCACCGGAUGAACGAAAGCUGAGGCAUCCUGCAACCGCUGCGCCCACCGGAAACAUCCACCACGCUCCAAUGCCAUCGAGUCGCCGUGAACCAAGCAACACCCUCAAGAAGGACUGCAACGACGACGCCGCUGCUGCCCGGACUAAUCCUAGGAUUUCUCCCGGUACACGGAGGGAAGCGUGCGAGAGGUACUCCCGACGCCCUUCAAGAAGGUUGAUGGCGCCCAGAGGCGUCACCGCGCCGGUGCCGGGUGGACCCAAGAGGGAUUUUGCCCUGCCCUUCAUACCCACAACCCAGGACCAACCGGCGGCUCAACCAUGCCAACCGCCCACCAACCUGCGCCACCACAGUCACGAGGACACCACUGUCGUCUCUCCACCGCAGACGCUGCGAGGCCGGCCGAACCAAGCGAGACCACCGCCGAUAGGGACCGGGAGCACCACAGCCACGUGGGAGGGGACAACCUCCACUGGCACAAGUCGUAGCAGACCGGACGCAGGCGCGGGAGCACGCUGGACCCCCUGCCUAGCCGGGCCCAGAUCAGGCCCGUUAAGCUCCUGCCGCUGCGCUGCAGCCGAUGCAGCGCAGAGCUGCCGAUCCCAACGACCUCAUCCCGCCAGCCCAGCCGGAGGAGACCCGUCGGAGGCCAGACCAACCCGCCCUGACCCAGAUCGGGCCCAAAAGGGCCCGGAUCUGGGUCUACAGGGCUUCGCCGGCCAACCCCCGCCGCCAGCCGCCACCGCCGCCAAAGGGUCGUGCCGCCGCCGCAUCUGAGCCCGAUCUACACCGGAGAACCGCCCGCCGAGGUGCACCAUCGCCGGAAACCGCCGCCCGAGCCGGGGAACCGCGAGGGGGAGAGGAAGAGGGCCGCCACCGCCGGCUUUGCCACGACGCCGCGCGGGCAACGCCCGGCCACGCCAGCCGGAGGCAGCGGCGGGAGGAGGGGUGGGAGGUUGGGGCUGGGCGGCGAGGGGAGGGAGGGCCGCCCCGGUCGCCCUGCUCAUGGGGGCGGCAUGGGGGGUAUGGAGAGGGGAGGGAGUCCCUUUUCAGAUUCAUAGUUACUAGCACCGAGGACUUAGUUUUAUAGAAGAAACCCACCCAAGGUGAGGAACCGGAAAUUCGACCCUGAUAGGAUUCGAACCCACCCAAGGUGAGGAACCAGAAAUUCGACCCUGAUAGGAUUCGAACCCUGGCUGCAAGGUGCGCCACCGCCCAACAUUGCCACUAGGCUACAGCCUAGUUCUCUCACGUGCUCACUUCAUCCUUCACACUUUUAUUUUACGUCUAUUUGUAGUGAUUUUGUUCGGUUUUCUAUUAUAUUUGCCUCUUAUGUUCUACUCUUUCUUGUUGUCGAUGGUGGCCGUGGACGUGGCGGCUUCAUUGUCAUNNNNNNNNNNNNNNNNNNNNNNNNNNNNNNNNNNNNNNNNNNNNNNNNNNNNNNNNNNNNNNNNNNNNNNNNNNNNNNNNNNNNNNNNNNNNNNNNNNNNNNNNNNNNNNNNNNNNNNNNNNNNNNNNNNNNNNNNNNNNNNNNNNNNNNNNNNNNNNNNNNNNNNNNNNNNNNNNNNNNNNNNNNNNNNNNNNNNNNNNNNNNNNNNNNNNNNNNNNNNNNNNNNNNNNNNNNNNNNNNNNNNNNNNNNNNNNNNNNNNNNNNNNNNNNNNNNNNNNNNNNNNNNNNNNNNNNNNNNNNNNNNNNNNNNNNNNNNNNNNNNNNNNNNNNNNNNNNNNNNNNNNNNNNNNNNNNNNNNNNNNNNNNNNNNNNNNNNNNNNNNNNNNNNNNNNNNNNNNNNNNNNNNNNNNNNNNNNNNNNNNNNNNNNNNNNNNNNNNNNNNNNNNNNNNNNNGCCUCCAUUACACGGAGCCACCAUUGGUCGCGACAGAUGUCGCGAAUGGUGUGGUAGGACAGGAGCAACGCCUUCCACUCGUCUACGUUGGCCACGAUGCCCGUGCCCGCCGUUUUGCUCCUCCACGAGCCGGUGCUCGUCGAGGAGCCGGAGGUUGUACCUCUGGUUGGCAUGCGGCUGCCGGAACGCCUCUUCCCCCUCUUCCAUCACCAUGUCCGUGAAGUGCCCCCAUGGCUCGCCCAUGGUGAUGCCGGACAGGAUAGACAAGGGCGAUGGCUCCAGCUCAUUGUUCAUUGGCUCGUCCGCGUCCCUCCGAAGACCUCGCCGGAAAGCCAGCCUGUGUUUGGCUGAUUCGGCGGGCCUGCCAGCCGGUCGCAAUGCCGGAGAGCUUCUUCUUCUAUUCGCCAAGGAGGCUGUCCCAUAGGGCUUUGGAGCUCGAGGCCAUGGCGGUGUGGUGCACGGAGGAAGAGAUCGGGAGCAGAGGUCUGAUGCGGUUGUUGUCGGGAGCCUAACUGGUUUAAAUAGGGGUCGGAUGACAGGCACGAAGCGGCGGGGUGUUUAAUGCUGGACGGCAGGCAGACAAACAUGUGGUGCUCGCAUGCGUGCGUCGGAGUAGGUUCCUCGGCAAACACGCAUGUUCAAUCUACGGAGGUGGGCGGCCGAAUGCCGUUUCAAUGCGGAGAGAAGACGCGUGCAGUGGGCGACGCUCUCGGUCGGUGCGCCACUUCAAUGUCGGCUCUACUGAGAGUUCACGUUCGAUCUUAGUCGACAUGAAUGCGGCGCUGACCACUUCAGGCGACAAAAGGGUGCGGGCAAAGGAGAAGGUUUCGGUCGGGUUCGGUGUCUGACACAGGCGUGGGAGCGGUCCAGAUACCGGUUUGCAGGAAAAAAUAUGUCCGGACCUCUUCAUGGACGGACGAGAUACGUAGUUGGAUGGCAAAACAUAUCCGGACCGUCCGGUCCGCACCGAUGCAGGCGGUUUGAGGAUGCCCUAACUCUCAGCCAUGCUCAUUAGUUUUCUUUCUGUAACCAGCCUAAGGCCAUAUGUAGAACCUUUGUUCAGGUCGAAAGCAGAUUAUCUCAAGCAGGACCUCAACAGGAUUCGUGUGGCAAUACAAAUUGUAAAUGUAAGCUGAAAAUUCAGCAUGAUCAUUCGUCACUACUACCCUUAUGAUGUGCCAUUCCUGCCCGGUAAUUUGCUCAGCUGCUGACAUCACUUGUAGCUUGUAGGUUACGCAUCAUCAAAUUCUCUGUUGCGUCCAUGCCCCUUCUGGCAUCUAUGUGUGUCUGAUAGAUAUGCAUACCGGCGAUGAAAUAUUUUUUUCAGCGUGUAUUAAAUUGUUGAUGGAGCAAACAAGUUUAAAACCCAGAUCAAUUCAUAUUCUAGUAUGUUUGGUCAGUAUGAAACCAGCAAAAAGUCCGUUCAUCUUUAACUGUAUUCUCUGCUUUUCGUCACAACGUUUCAGUUCUUCUACCAGAGCUGACGACGUAGUUCUUGUACUGUCUCUAGCAAAACCCAACACAAUAUACGGACAACAAAAACACCACCAAAAGAUAAGUAAAACUAAAGCACCACCAAAAAAUAAGUAAAACUCAAGUCAUCGCAGGCAAAACUAAAACGAAACAACCGACAGCAAUAACAUGCUAGAGGAAAAAGACAAUCCCCUAAGUGAAGAAAGGCGUGGCGAAGCGCGUGCUAGCCUCUAGUAUGAUAUUGCAUCCGCUUUUUUUUACCUGACAAAAUAGACCGGUAGGAACCCUACUUGGCUCACAUUUUCUCUUUGAGGAUGCAUCAUUAGCUGUUGGAAUUUUUUUUCAUAAACUUCGUACUACAAAAUUGCGUGUUUGAUAGCUACAUCAAAAGAUCAAUGAAAUUACACCUUUUCACAAAGAAAAUGUAUGUAAAUGCAAGUUUAUUCAAAGCUCUGAGUCUCCGACCUACCUAAGGACCAAACUUAUAAGAAAGCGACUCUCAGCUAUUCUUACUGUUCUACUUGAGGGCCAGUGAAUUUACAUCACUGCCUACCACCCAGGCCUCUUAUAAAGUGAAAGGCUUCCCUAAGCAGAGAUGAGUACCUUGUUCGUCAUUUAGUUCACCCUUAGAAUUGUCCAGUAUCACUUCAUGCCUUGUUUGCCGUCUCUGCAUACUAGGGGUCCGAGUUUGAUGUGUGUAGGCUUAGAAGGUAUCAGGAAUUACCAAUGAAUUAUUGGAAUUAUAACAUGCACCCUUUUACCUUCUCUGUCGUCAUUCACCUCUGCGUGUUGUUUGUACUGAAUCUGGUACUGAACCGAGAAACUAUCCCAGCAGUGUACAAGACAGAAAAAUGUAGAAAUACUCUGAAUACUUUCUACUGGAUCUUUUUUUGAUUUGGUAUGUCGAAUUUUGUUUCAGCCUCGCGUCCUCCAUAAUACUCUUUUUACAUGUUCCAAAACCGUCCUUCUGUACAUAGAAAUAGCAAGGUGCAAACAGAUGUUGACAUGCACAGGAAACAGUUGCUGGCAUCAUUUAAGUGUCUUUGUCACUUCUUUUGCAAGAACCAAACCAAAGCAUGCAACUUCAACAAACAAUAUUAUCCUGUAUUUAAAUUGCGCACAUCCUCUUAUCCAUUCUAGGUAAACUCACUCUAGCAUUGAUAAUGUAUAUAUAAUUACCUCGAGUCAAGUAACAGCUUAGAGGAUGGGUGGAUCUGACUAGCUAAGGUACCUGCUGCUAGUUUUACUGCUAUGGUCACCAGAGAUCAGACACAGGCAAAGAUGGAAGAAGAGGAGAGCCUGGUAGGCCAACCGGCAUCCUUGCACGCUGAUGGCCUGCCUGAUGGAAGGCAAUGCUUAUGUGAAAUCUCAAUCCAAAACUUAUUCGUUUCGUUGGAAAAACCGACACCGACGUCAAGAUCAGUCUCCUUUCCUUUCUCUUUAGUUUGGGAGCAGAGCUUAAAAAGAUGGGGGGUCACGAUGGAUCCUUUUUUUUAUCCCUGAUUCCAUGGACGGAAUGAUUGUGGAAUUUAACCCUUCGUCGUCAUACCCAAACUCGGUCAAUGGGCCGGCUUUUAGCGUAGAAAGUGUGAGUUCGAACUACAUGGAGGUGGAGGAAUCAAUAAAUUCCCCUCCUCCCCCUAAUCCAAACCCUUAUUCUCAGAUUCCGGAUUUAGUCGCCGCAAAUGCAAAUAUGGAUUACUUUCACUUCUCUCAAAUGCAGAUGUUUUACCAAAUGCAAAUGUUUUAUCAAAUGCAUUUGAAUUAUUUUAGCAGCCAGCCGCUUUUGCCUAUGGUACCUAUGUAUGUUCAUUUUUUUAUGUCUUUUUAUAUGCGGUUUUGGUAUUUUCCCUUCUAAGCAAACUCUUUUGCGCCAUUUGAUCUUUAAUUGAACUAUUUCAGGCUCCGUAUUGAAUUGAAAAACUCUUUCAGGCUCCGUAUUGUAUUUAUAAACUCUUUAAGGCUCCGUAUUGAAUUGAAAAACUCUUUCUGGCUCCGUAUUUCAAACUCGAAUUGGAUUUUGUGUCGGCUGGCCGGCAGGACCGCCAGCCCGCAGAUGUAGGGAGGUCUCCUCUUGAACUGAGAAAUCAAAGUCGCGAUCUGAUAGGUAUCUAUCCGGACCAUGCAUCUGGAAAGCGCCGGUUCGAUUCCGGCUCGUGACAUGAAGAAGAAGUCCCAAACAGGGAUCAGAUGAGUUUGCACAGCGUUACUUUGUUGACGGAAAAUCUAAUUGUUCUUCCGGUUCAAUGAAGACUAUGCUUACUUUCCUUUCUCUUACCGGUCUGUGUUCUAUCAUGGACCUGUAUUCCGUUCCUCGAAUCGAGACUUUCUUUUGGUAUGAUUUUGAUACGAGUUUUCUAUCAAAACUCUAUGCCAUCAAUCACUAUCCCCGGGGAUAGAAUCCAGCUCCCGGCGUACCUGAUAACUACGCUCAUAUACGUCAAUUCAUGGAAGAUGCUCAGGGGAAUGAAUCCAUAUAGGAAACCCCUCUAGGGGAAGGGACAACUGGUUAGUUUGUGUUAACAUAUCAAGGGAUACCAAUCAUUGCCAGGUAUGGUGGGAAAAAAAGCAACCUAUUGUAUUUUCCUUACUCCAGUGGGCUUUAACUAGACCUGUUUACUUAGCUUGAUCUUUGUGCUCUCGACAUAGGUAGGAUGUAUCUCUGGAUUAUCCAUGGUAUGCUUCCAUUGUUGCACCUUAGCCCGGUAUAGUAGAAGGCGAUCCAUGCUAUUCAUGAGUUGAUAAGCUCCAUUCCAUCGAUAGGGAUCAACCCAGCUGCAUAGCUUUAAGAUCCUAAGCUACACCACAGCUAAAUCAACCAACGUCAGGGAUUCUAGCUCAAGAUCAGGAAAGAGCUUCGUUCCCUCCCGCCUGCUGGCUAGAGUUAUACCAUCCACUCUUGCUGCUGACUGUGAAGUAGCGUAAAACCCUCUAUCGCGUCUGUUUGUUUGCCGUUGUACGAAAGUCUAUCGAUUCAAGAAUUUGCAAAUCCCUUGGGUUCUUUGCCGAGGUUAGCCUAGCAUUGGAAGCCCUGGUGGAUAGCCUUGCUUUGAAGAUGAGGAUUAUGAUGUAAUCACUACAAACAAUAUGGUAGCAACCACUUUCCAUUUCACCAGAAAAUUACAGUACUGCUUUAACAUUCUUUAAAGAGAAUUUGGAGAACCAACCCUUUCCCCAGAUACGAAUAAAGGAGACUGCUUUCUGUAUAAUUGUGCUUAUGCAGCUAGAAACCCAUUUUAUGUUUCUGUCAUUUUCCCAAAUGCUCGCAGCAUGUAGUAACAACAACCAACUUGGUUGGUAUUAUAUGCAGAGAUUACCUCAUCAGCUAGAUGCCUCAGCUAGUGCUUAUCAGCUAAUAAGCUACUUCGAAAAGACCAGAUACUGGAGAACAUGGUGGAGGAAGCAGCAAGUGAUUUCUUCAAGACGGCGCUCUUCACUGUUGCAGCUGGAUCCAAUGACAUAUUUUGGAGUAUCUUUCGCCUUCAGUACCGUUCUUUGGACGAGAGAAGCCUUAUCCUUCAGACUUUCUAGACGUGUUGGUUUCCAAUCUGUCAUUUUAUCAGAAGGUUCCGCCAAUUUAUCACUACUGUAGUUUAGUGUCGCUUGCUCUUGUUUGCUGCAGACCUCUAUUUUCUUUCCAUCGAUUAAGAGGCUAAAUGAACAGGGUGCUCGAAAGUUUGUUGUGUCCGACGUCGGGCAACUCGGUUGUAUACCGUACGUUCGUGCUCUGGAGAUACGUAUGAUAUCGUGACGGAGAUCAUUCUGCACUACCGUCAAUACGGUACGCUUUUCUUCCUCGCUGCUUCCCGCAAAUGAUGUGCUUCAGACUUCUGAACACGAAAUGGCAAUACUUAGAAUCCAAUUCUUGCUUUGUAUUAACACCUCUGGACGUUACCUGAGCUGACUGUGCAUAUGAAGAACCCCAGUGGUAAACGAAACUUUUGUUCAUUGACUACAUUGCCUGGUUUUGAUAAUGCGCAGGACCCGUGCAGCGGCGGCUGCUUCCCUCCGUUCCUCUGCUUUGGCGCAGCCAAACUCCUGACUCUUCCUCGUCAAUUUCAUUGCCUUAAUGGCAGUUAUCCCUUUCUUCGAUAAAUGGAGCCGUGUGACAGCGCAGGUAGUCGCAUAGUUUCAUUCCCUGGAUGGCUAAUGCUUAACACUGGUCAGAUACCAUAAGUUAUGGUUGUGCUCGCUCGGCAAAUUCUAUCGGUUCAGCAGCGUCCUUAGUAGGAGCGGAAGGGAUGUAGCGAGGAGCCGAAACCUACCGUUACGGAACCGUGGAAAAAGCCGAAACCUAGGGUAUUCCCUGAUCUAAACUUCAAUAACAACCAUUGCCUUACGUACCAUUGGCUGGGAAAGGAAGGUGCCGUUUGCCGCAAGUAGAUCUAGCUGAUUGACUCGUUCAUAGUCGAAAACUAAUGCAUCGAACCCUUUGCCGAUCAAAAGAUUAGGAACCGUCCUCCUUUUACCGGAUACCCUUGCCGAAGAAGGGCUGUAAAUAUCUCGUACGUAUGUUUCCUAGGAUCUACUACAUGAAAAUGAAAAAGUAUUGGCUUGAGUUCUUUCGCGAUAGGCCCUUGCAAUAAAAUGCUUUGAAGAUGAGGAUUCAGUGGGGAUGACAUUAUCGCCAUACGCUAUUGGAUUUCUCCCGGGCUUUGCCUUUGCCGAAACUGUUCCGUUGACAUCCUUUGCCGUAGAACUUAUCUUCUUGGAAAACGGAGGAUAUUACCUUUGAUUUUGUUAGAGGAGGUAGGAAGCCGAGCAUUGGGAACUAGCCGUUAUAGGGUUUCGGAAAAAAGGGUUGAUAACUCCCUUUGCUUUGUCAAUUAAGAAAAAUAGAAUGUGCUUACCUUCGUGAUAUUCCCUUUUCUUUGAUCCUUUCGGUUUUGAACUGCGCUUUGCCCGUACUAGGUCUUGAAACUUAGCUUCAACCUCUCUGUAGGAAUGAAGGUUCUUUUCAUGCAAUUUCUCGUAUGAUAAUGAAUCGAGUUUCGAAACACGGUUGUUGUAGGGAGUUAUUUCUUUCUUAAAGGAAGGCUCUCUGCUCCAUUGGGUGACGAUUCAAUGGUUCUAUUCAUCCUAUUCCUAGGUCGAUCCGUUAACUUGGGUUUUGUUUACCAGUUGGUUAGGUCAACUUGUGGCAUAGCUGUAUUGGACGCGAUACGGUGAACGAGUCCCUUUUUGCUUUCCGAUACUUUCUUGAAGGAAUAGCAUCUGAGUACAAUAGUGUAGAGUUCCCCGCACUAAACAUUGCAAAGAGUCUAAAAGAGGUGAAAGAGCUAUAAAGAACUAAGGAAGAAGCCAUUUGUAGCACUAAGAGGAAGAUGUCUCACAACCAGACUACGGAUAAUACAUGCCGAUAUAGGAAUGAAGCAUGCAUAAACUCGUAAGUCAAUAGUGAAUUUGGUUGCAUCGAAGGCGGAUAAAUUCAAUAAUGAGGGCCGCCCGCAGAUGAUAGCAAUUCGUCUUCACUAAGAGCUAACGACUAGAAAUCUAGCAAAUAGGACGCUUUGUCAAUUGAAUUAGUAAGUUAUCCUGGUCUAGAGGGUGUUCUUCCUCCCCACUCUAGAGGCUAAACCAGUUAGAAAAGCGUCCCCCGGGAGUUUCGCAGUAGUAGAUGACGUUCCUGGUACUAGUAGUCCAUAGAACUAAGAUUUGCAUGCAUGGUGGGUAACAGCAUUGUAUCUAUCUUUUGCAGUCUGUAAAUACGUAUCCCAAAGUUGUAGAUUCUGCUUCUUAAGGGCUGGGUGUCAAAGUCCUCAGUAGGUGGUUUGAUCCUUCAAAUGCCUAUCUGUUGUAGUAGUCCCCAAAGGCGGAGCUUUAUUAGUUGUAGGUGGACGGACCUUAAGUCCUUUCCUUUCUCUAACGCUAAUACCGCGGCCUGUCAUGAUUGCUGUCAAAGAUGAAGGCCAUACUGUAGUCAUAAGAUUGCGUGUCGUGUCGUUAUUCUGUAUCGUGUAAAGAUUCUCAUAUGUGUUGUCAUUCCAGUACAGCUAAUCCGUGAACAGCUAACCAUCGUACUGUCAAAAUGGGAUAGGUUCGAUCUAUGGUCAUGGAAGGCCUCCUAAAAAGAUCUACUAAAUUCAUCGAGUUGUUCCAAAGAAUCAAAGCGCCCAGUUAUUAAGAAAAUCCCUUAUCGGCUUUUCGUGAAAUAUUCGUUUGGCCGAGGACUUCCAUAGCUGUUCCUAUUUCAACUAGGUAGGCCUUCAGUAUUCAUGCUUCCUUCUAUCAAGAGCAUUGUGGCAGUACGAAAUCCUUCCUCAGCCUUAUUUCUAAUUUUCACCGGGCAUAUCCGAUUUUUGGACACUUGCUGCAUCCCUUUUCUUGCUGCAUUAGCUUAACCGUUCGCUUCUUUCCAUUGCUUCAACGCUUGUUUCAAGCAAUAGUUAAGAGUUACUAAAGUAGUUUGUCCUAUUCAAAGCUAUAAUCAGUGACUAAUAUGCACACAACAAUAAAGACUGUUGUUUUUUCUAGUGAGAAAUCGAGUACUGUUUUUACACAGCUAUAGCAUCUGAGAAUUUUACAGAAAAGCAAGGUUCAAAGCCCACGGAGCGGUAGGUCGACAUUCCUUCUUCUUUCCAAGCUUCUGGUGGUAUCUAUACCUUUCGAGACCAAGCCCUGCUACAAUUCAUUGCUGGAAGAGACUGCUAGAUUUCUUUUUCAUAGUUCGCUUCAGGGUUGUAGAUAAUGCUCUAUCAAAGAGCGCCAGCGUACGUGCUCGAAAGCGUUAGUCAACUAGCUACUUGUCCUUGCUUUUCUCUAGUGUGCCCCUUCAUUCAAUCUCUAACUCAAUGUCUACCCACAUACCUUUCCUUUCUGAAUCAGGAAUAGCCGACUCAGGGUAAAUGCUUUUCCCAGCUCAAAGGCGAUGACUAGUAGAUCCGGGGGUACCUAGAAAGCGAACAAAUGUUCCCAUGGUCAUGAUUGUUGACUAAACAACCCUUUCUCUGAUUCCCCUUGCCGACUUUGAACGAACUCAUGCUUGAAUGAGAACAAGCGAUUUGCGACUUUGGUCCAUGAAUUAUAAGAUCAUGAACAACCGAUUAUGCGACAUCUCUCUUAGCUUAUAGAAAGAGCUGAAAUACUACAACCGAUAUUGCGACAUCUAAUCCAAACAGCGUAUCAGCGACAACCCUAUUCUUUCUUUCCUUCCUUGCUUAUUUAUUCUAUUAUUCAGCUUGUUGUUGCAAAUAAGUAAAGUAGUUUGAAGUUCUCUCAUAUGCAUUUGCAUUUCAUUUAGUGUUGAAUAUCCAAGAAAAAUGAAGGCUGGCAACGCGCCCUCCCUUCUGCUACCAAUCAAAGCGUGGAACUAAAUCUCCUAUUUUUCCAAGUGAAAGCCGGGCUGACGAAUAACCAACCCGCAAUGAAUAAGGAAGGUAUAGUAAUGCUAUGAAUAACCCAGUAUCGAAUACUGGUAAUAAUAUAAGCAGAAGAGCGUUCUCCCGUGCUUCCAGACAUGCUGAGCUCUACCAAUUUUUGUACAUUCAAAAAGGGGAAUUGAUUCCUUCUCUAGAUAGGGCGGGAAAACUAGACUAUAUAAGAGUUUAUACAUAAACGCACAUAUAGUAAGUAUUUGGAUCUUCCUGCGAGACUGUUCUUUUCGCUGGAGAAAGAGAACACUUCUUUUCUUUUUUUUUGAUUCAACAAAUGCAAGUUCGUCUUCGUCUGAUUUGUCAAUGGGAAAACGAAAUCAUGGGUGGAGGAAGAGGCUGUGAUCGAUAAAGGGGAUGAUGAUGACUUCCAUCUUUCUAUGGAUUUUCUCUCAUUAUAAAUCGAAAGAUCAGGUCAAAGCCUUCCAAACCAUCCACUGGAUUUUCAUGUUCGUAAGGGAGGAAUAUGUGUGUGUUGUAUAUAAAUAAAGGACUUUCGAUUUAGCGUUGUCAUUUUCACGAGUUUUUAGAUAAUCCAAUUUUAUGUGAGAUUACUUUCAUUUUUACUGAAUCACUUGAAUCAGUUAAAGGAGACGAGGCUUCUGGCCCAACCAGAGGGGCUGUAGAGGAGAGUUUUGACUGCAGGAGAGGCAGGUCCAGGUAACGGGGAGAAUCCGCUAGGCUGAGGUUGAGUGGCUCACUUCCUUGAGAAUAUAGAAUCUAUAACUAAGAAAUGAGAAUUGUUGACCCAUAUGAUCUCAGGCUCAUAAAGAGGAUGAAACUGAUAAUUUCAUUCACACUUUGAAAUUGAGCUCGUCAGUGAUCUUUUCCAAGGUGUCUAGAGAAACCUGCUUUGAACAUGACAUUCGUACCCAAGGAAAGUUUUGGCAGGCAUUACUGUGAUCUUGAAGCCCUUGCUAGGAGCUAGUCGGUACGGCUCACUACUAAAGAAGGUUCUCGCAUGCUUCGACUUAGCCCUGUGAUCCGCUAAUUCAUCUCUUGAUCUGGUAUUCCGCAAAGGAGGUGGAUAGGGUCAGCCUUUUCUUCAUGGAUAUGUUGAUCUAUCAGACCUAUCUAUAGUGGAAUACUAGAUUCUUUGCUACUUCCUGGAUUAUCCCUAUGUUUGCUGUUUCCAGAUCCUGCCUUCUUGUCCUUUGCGCUCAAGUCUAUGGCCAGUACUGCCCGGGGCAAUAUUAGCAGUUUUCUGAGGGUUCCAUCGCCUCUUGGUUGGUUUUUCUCCGCAAGCAGAGCAAGCUAGUUCACAUCCGAUUAUCCUUACCGCACUAACCAUUGCUGGCGAGGUAGCCUUGCCCUAACGUCAUAGAGAAGACGUGCCGCAGCUGCCUUUCUAAGACCUGGUACAAGUGAUGACCUUGCUGAUAAGGGUCGAAUGCGUAGUUCAUUCGCAUGUCUUUCGAAAGAAUUGACAGUUGAUGACGGAACGAACUGUUCGACCUUGAUUUCUUGGCUUUGAUGUUGUUAUCACAAUCAGGUUGCCAUAACACGCAUUGCUAUGUUGAGACAACAUGAUCUUGAAUCAGGAUUGGAUUGCCUUAUCUUAUUAGUAGGAAGAGGUGAAGUUCCCUUUUCUUUUCCCUGGGAAACGGUACCUGCAUUCCCGUGAGCUUUUCCUAUCCCAUUGCUCUCUAUUCUCUAAUUCCCUUAAUCAAACAAAGUUUAUAUACCCUCAGAUUUUGGGAUCCUUCUUUUCUGCACUUCCCCUUUUCUCUACUUCCCAUUGGAGUGUACGGGGCCAUUUUGAGAUAUGGGAUAGGUCCGUUUUCAUCAACCAGCAGGAGGAAAGCUAGCACAUUUACCUUAAUCCAUUGCACUACCGAGAAGUUUGAUGACUUCUCACCUUCAUAACAUACUUACCAAACCUAGUAAGGGAUUUUGUACCUUAAUCUAGUGAAAGGUGCACAUCCGAUCCCUAAUCUAGCUCUCUGUGCAGAAACCCAUUGGCAAAGAAACGGGUUGAUUCUUCGGUUCAAGUGAUGGUGGGGGAUCAAGAAGAGUGGCUAUGUGGGGUUUGAACUUGGACACGGGAUUAGCUUAAUUUGGAUAGUUCAUUUUAUCACUCCACUGGGCCCUUGGCCUUUCUCCCUAUGUGGAUGGAUGAUAAGAAAAAUGCCAAUCGAACCAAGUAAGGGCUCCGCGUGAAGCAUAUUAUGUAGAUCUAGCUGACAAUAAUAACUGAGAUCCUAUACAAAUAACGCAUUAGCGACCCCUUGGAUAGACAAUUCAUGCUACUCGACUCACCAUCACUCUUUAGAGACAUUCGACGAAAAGCAAGCUUACCAAUAAGAAACAGCUGGCAUGGCAGUAUCUUCUAUAUCUUCUAUAAUGAAUAUAAUGUGCACACCUGGCUUUAACCAUAUAAAAUCUAGUACAGCGGGAAGGAUGUCAUAUUUCUGGUCCACUACUUAGACUCUACGAGGGCUUUAGGUGAGGAACUACUUAUCUCCCGAGGCACCCUUCUCCUGAGUCCUACCCAGCUCAAGUUUAAGAAUGCGCAUAGCCCCAAGGAUAGGUAGAGGGGGAUCUUGUUCUGUUCAGUGCCGCCUCUUCCUCGGCCAUUCAAGAAAGGGAUUUGCUUCUUCUUACAGGUCCUUGAGAAAAAGAAGAAAGAUAGGAAAGGAAUUAGGGCGUUGCCAAAGGCAAUGGUCCAGCUUGUGUGAAUGGAUUUCAUUGUUUUUUUAGAUUCCACUAUUUGUUCGAUAGCAAGCAAACUCUCCCAAUUUAGGACCUUCAGUGAUCUUACAACGAACAUUGUAAAUGACAAUCAACGAAUUCCGGCGAAAUAGAAGAUCUACGGGUCACCAUAGUCUUCUGAUACACAAAUAGGAUUCCGCACUCUUAAACAAGAGGUUGCCACUUAGCAUAAGGAAAGGGAAGAGUAAGGCCAGCAUUGACUAGAGCUACUGAUAUCUCGGGACACUAUGUGAAAUAGCUACGAUAUGCUUGCUAUUCUGGGAAGAUAAGUCAUGCCUUAGGAAACUAGUCAUGUUAUGAUCGAAUUGGAAUGUGCGGGCUUUGUGACUACCACUGAUUGGAGGAUCAAGAAGCCUACUAGUUCACUCUUCCUGCGAUAUCUGAUCAAUCGCUCCUGCCGGUUGUACAGAUUCUAUCACUGGCUUUAGGUUAUUCCUUCUCGGACCUGACGUCUCCAUCACUACUAAUAAGGAAGGCCACUUUCUUUUGUAUCGGGCCUUCAAAACGCAACGCAGUAGAAACAGAUAGCUGAGUAGAGAGUGCGGCCGAAGCAUCCAUAGCUUAGCGAUUAUGUUCUUAUAGAUAAGGAUUAGAUGGAUGUAGACAACCAAUAAAUCUAAGGUGAACCAAUAGAAAUAGAGUCUGGUGGAAGCGGUCAUCCCGUGGGGAGAGACUCAAGAAUAUGAUAAUAUGAUGACUCCGCUGCGCUGCUCUGCUGACUAGCCGUUUCCUCUUCUAAGUAAAUAACCAGCUUCAGUUCAUGCUCCUUGCUGGCAUAACCAUAUUAAGCUGCAUUGGAUAAACAAUCGAAACUCUGUAAUUGUUAAUAGUAGGGUAGCGAAGUAGCCGGGGUUGCACGCGUCAUCAGAAUUCUAGUAUAAGGAAGCGACGGGAAGGGAAAGGUGAUUACAAAAUACGGAUACGUAAGGGUUGUGUUUAUUGACUAUCACAGGAAAAUGGGAAGAAUUUAUCACACAUGGUAUCAGAGCUGAUACCUUCACCCAAACCGUAGACGCCGGCGGUGAAGAAGGAGGUGAGGGCGCCUGCUUUGAUUAGGCUUACUGUAAGUUUGUUUGAAGCUCCGGAGUCUAGUCUACCAAUGGGUGCUAUGGUGUGUCCUCCCCUCUAAGGUCUCGCUUGGAUAAUCGACUCUUACGACCCACACAGGAGAGGGUUUUUCCCAACCGUUCAUGCCUGUCGGCUAUGAAAUAAAAGAGUGGGCUCUUUGAAGCUAGGUAUUAAGCACAGGAAGGUAUGGGAAUAUAGCGAGCACUUUCUUAAACCGAGAUGUGAGACUACUAAAGAGGCAGGUAAAGUGGGAAGUGGGAUUCAUGAUGCAAGCUUAUGAAGAAAAA
rnacentral:lncRNA from 1 species